rnacentral:rRNA from 1 species
UACGUAGGUCCCGAGCGUUGUCCGGAUUUAUUGGGCGUAAAGCGAGCGCAGGUGGUUUAUUAAGUCUGGUGUAAAAGGCAGUGGCCCAACCAUUGUAUGCAUUGGAAACUGGUAGACUUGAGUGCAGGAGAGGCGAGUGGAAUUCCAUGUGUAGCGGUGAAAUGCGUAGAUAUAUGGAGGAACACCGGUGGCGAAAGCGGCUCUCUGGCCUGUAACUGACACUGAGGCUCGAAAGCGUGGGGAGCAAACAGG